CCCAGAUAGAAUUACAUCUCCUCCUCUUUCAUAAAACCCCAGUUUUGUAUUUUCUCUUGAGUUUACAUACCCCGUCAUGGCCAUGACGACGACCGGCCAGAUGAUGCCGCCCUCCAUGCAGAGGCUGAUCAAGGGCGGGGAUCGGAGCAUGAUCACCAUGUCCGAUGAGGACGUGUUGACGAAGCAGAUCAAGGAGACUCACGCCCCGGAUGGCCGCGAGGUUGAUGUGAAGCCGCUCCUCCAUCUCGUGAAGGACAUCCUCAACCGCUCGACCUUGAAUGUUGACGCUGUUGCCGCCGAGGGAUCACCAGCACACACAGAAAACAUGGAGGACCAGACUUACCGGGCCAGCGACACCGACCUACUCGACGCAUUGUCCUAUAUCAUCGAACGGGUUUCCAGCGAGCUACACGCGAAGGCGCUGACUGGGGGCGAGGCACAUUCGACCACGCUCGCCAUAUGCAACAUGCUCGCCCCCUUCUCGUGGGACGCCAAGCUGGUGCUGACACUGGCGGCCUUUGCCUUCAACUAUGGCGAGUUCUGGCUCUUGGCCCAGGUCUCCUCCACCAACCAGCUCGCCAAGCUGAUGGCGACCCUGAAGCAGCUGCCCAUGAUCAUGGAGUACUCCAGCGUGCUCAAGUCCCGGUUCGACGCGCUCAACAGCCUCAUCCAGGCCAUGCUUAAAGUCACGAAGUGCGUGGUCGACCUCAAGGAGCUUCCCUCAGCUUACAUCUCCAGCGAGUUCCCUGCAUUGUCAGCUGCCAUGAAUCACGUCCCAACUGCCGUUUACUGGACCAUAAGGAGCGCUGUGGCUUGCUAUGGCCAGAUCACCAGCCUCACUAGCUAUGGCCUUGAGUACAUAACAUCCACAACUGAGGCAUGGGAGCUAUCGACCUUGGCUCACAAACUGACGAACAUAUAUGAACAUUUGCAGAAGCAAAUUGGCAUAUGUUACCAACACAUUGAGGAAAAGCGGCGUCUCGACGCCUAUAAGUCUCUCCUGAACCUCUUUGAAACCAUCCACAUUGACAAUAUGAAGAUUCUGAAGGCUCUGAUUUAUCCCAAGGACGAUGUUCUGCCACUUGUUGAGGGGUCUACAAGACAACGGGUCAACCUCGAAGUCCUGAGGAGGAAGAACGUAUUGCUGCUGAUCUCAGGGGUGGACAUCUCGCAGGAGGAGCUGUCCAUCCUGGAGCAGAUCCACAGCGAGUCCAAGUUGCAUGCAAUCCGGCAUGAGAUCCACCAGUAUGAGUUGGUGUGGAUCCCCAUGGUGGACCGGUCGGUCGAGUGGACCGGUCCAAUGCAGAAGCAGUUCGAGGCCCUGCAGUCCUCAAUGCCGUGGUAUACCGUGUACCACCCAAGCCUGAUCGACGACUUGGUGAUCCGGUUCGUCAAGGAGAAGUGGCACUUCAGGAACAAGCCGAUCCUCGUGGUGCUUGACCCACAAGGCAAGGUUGUGUCCCCCAAUGCCAUUCACAUGAUGUGGAUUUGGGGAAGCAAUGCCUUCCCUUUCACUACACUGAGAGAGGAGGCUCUUUGGAAAGAAGAGAAAUGGAGGCUUGAGCUUCUUGUGGAUGGCAUGGAUCCAACAAUUCUGAAUUGGAUCAGAGAUGGCAAGUACAUAUUCCUGUACGGUGGCGAUGACAUCGAGUGGAUCCGCAAGUUCACCGCGGCGGCACGCCAGGUCCGCGCAAGCUGCAAGGAUUCCGCUGGAGAUGAUCUAUGUGGGCAAGAGCAGCAAGCGAGAGAAGGUGCGGCAAGUGAUUGCGACCAUCAACGUUGAGAAGCUGAGCUCCACCUGGCAGGACCUGACCUUGGUGUGGUACUUCUGGACCCGGCUUGACUCGAUGCUCUUCUCGAAGAUCCAACUUGGGAAGGCGGAUGAGGAUGACCCCAUGAUGCAGCAGAUCAAGAGGAUACUCAGCUUCGACAAGACCGGGGGGUGGGCACUGCUAAGCCGGGGGUCAGCCAUCGCGGUGAACGGGCACGGGACCACGGUCCUGCCGGCGCUGGUGGAGUACGACCUGUGGAAGGAGCACGUGGUGACCAAGGGGUACGACGUGGCGUUCAAGGAUCACCACGACAAGAUCCGCGACGUGACACUCCCGUGCUGCAGGUUCGAGUUCCAGAGCGCGGGGGGAAGGAUCCCGGAGGGCAUGCGGUGCCCCGAGUGCCAGAGGCGCAUGGAGAAGCUCACCACCUUCGCCUGCUGCCAUGAUGAGGUUGUUCCCACCAUCUGAGUGACCAAUCGGUCAAUAGCCUUCCUAUGGAGGGGGCAUAUAUGAAUCGUCUUGCGGGACAUAAUAAAAAAAGCCAUGCGUGUGCUUGAAUUCGCCUGUUUUGAUUGGUGUUUGGAAGGUGAAGGAUGAUGUCCAUUGAUCGACAUCUGAUGUUUGAGAUUAAAUAAGAACAGGGAGCGUGAACCUCUUUUGAGUUAA